rnacentral:misc_RNA from 1 species
UUUCCGUAGGUGAACCUGCGGAAGGAUCAUUAAUGUAACCAGACCGGUCCUUUGCUGUAAAACGCACUGGUUUGUAAUGGGAGAUAACAUACACCCUAUGUUUAUUUACUUUUGUUGCUUUGGUGGUCCGUCCUUUACGGGGUCGUCCUCGGCUGAUCGCGCCCGCCAGAGUAACCAAACUCUUUUAUUUGCGAUGUCUGAGUACUAUAUAACAGUUAAAACUUUCAACAACGGAUCUCUUGGUUCUG